AUUGAACGCUGGCGGCAGGCCUAACACAUGCAAGUCGAACGAGUGGCGGACGGGUGAGUAAUGUCUGGGAAAGUGACUGAUGGAGGGGGAUAACUACUGGAAACGGUAGCUAAUACCGCAUACCCUCGGGAGUGCCCAUAGGGGUUUAGCUAGUAGGUGGGGUAAAGGCUCACCUGGGAGACGAUCCCUAGCGGGUCUGAGAGGCUGACCAGCCACACUGGAACUGAGACACGGUCCAGACUCCUACGGGAGGCAGCAGUGGGGAAUAUUGCACAAUGGGCGCAAGCCUGAUGCAGCCAUGCCGCGUGUAUGAAGAAGGCCUUCGGGUUGUAAAGUACUUUCAGCGGGGAGGCGUUACCCGCAGAAGAAGCACCGGCUAACUCCGUGCCAGCCGCCGCGGUAAUUC
rnacentral:rRNA from 1 species